rnacentral:piRNA from 1 species
UGUAAAAGAAAAUGUUGACAA